ACUCCUACGGGAGGCAGCAGUGGGGAAUAUUGCACAAUGGAGGAAACUCUGAUGCAGCGACGCCGCGUGAAUGAUGAAGGCCUUCGGGUCGUAAAAUUCUGUCCUUGGGGAAGAUAAUGACGGUACCCAAGGAGGAAGCCCCGGCUAACUACGUGCCAGCAGCCGCGGUAAUACGUAGGGGGCGAGCGUUGUCCGGAAUUAUUGGGCGUAAAGGGUUCGCAGGCGGUCUGAUAAGUCAGAUGUGAAAGGCAAUGGCUCAACCAUUGUAAGCAUUUGAAACUGUCAGACUUGAGUUAAGGAGAGGAAAGUGGAAUUCCUAGUGUAGCGGUGAAAUGCGUAGAUAUUAGGAGGAAUACCAGUGGCGAAGGCGACUUUCUGGACUUAUACUGACGCUGAGGAACGAAAGCGUGGGGAGCAAACAGGAUUAGAUACCCUGGUAGUCCACGCCGUAAACGAUGAGUGCUAGGUGUUGGGGGUCAAACCUCGGUGCCGCAGCUAACGCAUUAAGCACUCCGCCUGGGGAGUACGUACGCAAGUAUGAAACUCAAAGGAAUUGACGG
rnacentral:rRNA from 1 species